UAACACCUGGAAACAGAAUGCUAAUACCGGAUAAUAACAGAUGAUGCCUAUCAACUGUUUAAAAGAUGGUUCUGCUAUCACUCUUGGAUGGACCUGCGGUGCAUUAGCUAGUUGGUAGGGUAACGGCCUACCAAGGCGAUGAUGCAUAGCCGAGUUGAGAGACUGAUCGGCCACAUUGGGACUGAGACACGGCCCAAACUCCUACGGGAGGCAGCAGCC
rnacentral:rRNA from 1 species